rnacentral:lncRNA from 1 species
AAAAUAUUGUUUGCAUUUAUAACUUAAAUAAAACUGGUUUUAAAAAUUACAAGUAAUAUACAGUAAUUUCUACAGAUAAUACUAUCAUAUGUUUUGUGCUUGUUAUAAGGUUCCCUUCCAUAUUGUAUACAGUUCAUUUUUCCAGAUUCUAAUUCCAAUCUUUCUUAGAACCACUCACUAAAUUACUAUGUAUCGUAUUGUAUUUCUACUGCCAGUGAUGAGUAAGAAACCAAUGUUCUCAUGUUCACAUACUAAUUCUUCAGGAAAAUUUAUGAUGAUAAAGAUUGUCAUUAUCUGAAUCUUUAAUUACCAUCAGUUUGUGAUAUGAAACCCCUAUGAGUUUCCUAUUUUACAUUUUCAUUUGACUCAAGUCCAACAGACCAACACACUCAUUCUUUUGGACAGAAGAGCAAAA